UUUUCAGAGAGAAAACAAAACUACCAUGAAACAACCACUAAAAAAGUAUUCAACAGCUGCUUCAUAACUGGAGAUGUUUCCGAUCCCAAAAACCUGGCUUGGUUGCCACGUCUGUGUAUUGAGGGGCCUUCAGAUAUGAAAGUAGUGGCUGCCUGUUGCAAGAGGUUGUGUUUUGCAGACGGACAGGCAAACACAGCAGAUGGAAGAUGUCACUUUCUGGAGACCAGAAAACACUUCCUAAAUACUUUCUUCUUCAGUGUCUGGGCCCUGCUUUUCUGAUUUAUUUAUUUACUUAUUUUUCCUGGGAAGAGCAUUUAGUAAAAUAAUGGAGGUUGGGUUUGCUGUCAGAAGGUGCUUACAUAGACCUGGCUGUGACACUCCAUUUCCACCUCCCCUUGUCCUCUCCACAUGUCUCACCUCUAUUUGUGCAAGCUAACAGCCUCCUUGAACUAAGCCUCCAGAUUUUAUUUCCACAUGUAUACAUGUGUUUACCUGCAUUUGCACAGUUUGUGGCGUCCAGUCCCACAUUCACCUAGCCUACAAUUUCUUGAGUUUUACACUGCACAACUGCUGCUGUGAUUCAGAUUAGAGUUCUUUACUUUUUGAAUCCAGUCUGACAGAAAAUCCUUUGAUCCACCCUUAGUUUUCUGUCUUUUACUUGCUAAUCCCAGAGUCAGCUUGUUUUUUAGUAGCUCUUACUUUGUUGUCCGUUAGCAAUCUGUUAAACUUCUAAGUGUUUUUUCUUUAGAGAGGCUUGCAUUUGAAGACUUCCCCAUUUGAACAGUGGCCACACCACAAGCAGAUGGAUAUUGAAUGUGUCUCACUGGCUUAGAGUAGUCGCAAAGUCUUUUAUCUCUUCAGCUCCCAAACAAAAAAAAGUCAAGAUAUUAUUUUUACUGCCAAAUAAGUGGGGAAAGUAUCCAAUUUGAGUUCAUGCAUUAUGAACACUUUCCUUGCAGGCAGAGCUGCAAACAUGACUUAACAAACUUAAGGACUUCUACACCUGUCUAGACCAAGAAGAGGAAGAAGUUCUCAUUGAACAAAGAAUGAGGCAGGAAAACCACAGAGCCAUCUGACUUCCAGGCAGACUGUUAUAUUUCAGAUGCUCCACUGCUUACACAUAUCCUUUGUGAGGUGAAAACUCAUGAUUUCCUGCAGCUGUUUCCUCAAAUAAACCUCUACAUCAAUUCUUCCUCUACGUUCACCUAUUUCAUAUUUGUUUUGCGAGAGUACGCAGUUGUAGGCAUACCAGUGUAUUUCCUUGGAGAACCAGCCCUGCUCCUCCCUCUGGCUGCAGCUUUCUUCACCUCAGUGAGCAGGGUGGUGAGGGGAAGCAUUUCAAUCUGACACCUCUUA